CCUACGGGAGGCAGCAGUGAGGAAUAUUGGUCCAUGGGCGCGAGCCUGAACCAGCCAAGUAGCGUGAAGGGUGACUUCCCUACGGGUUGUAAACUUCUUUUAUAAAGGAAUAAAGUGAGGCACGUGUGCUUUUUCGUAUGUACUUUAUGAAUAAGGAUCGGCUAAAUCCGUUCCAGCAGCCGCGGUAAUACGGAGGAUCCGAGCGUUCUCCGGAUUUAUUGGGUUUAAAGGGUGCGUAGAUGGGAUGUUAAGGCAGUUGUGAAAGUUGGCGGCACCACCGUAAAAGUGCAGUUGAUACUGGCAGUCUAGAGUACAGGAGAGGUAUGCGGAAGUCGUGGUGUAGCGGUGAAAUGCUUAGAUAUCACGAAGAACUCCGAUUGCGAAGGCAGCUUACGAAACUGCCACUGACAUUGAUGCUCGAAAGUGUGGGUAUCAAACAGGAUUAGAUACCCGUGUAGUC
rnacentral:rRNA from 1 species